AGCGAACGUUUGCGGCGGGCCUAACACAUGCAAGUCGAACGCACUAGCAAUAGUGAGUGGCGCACGGGUGCGUAACACGUGGGUAAUCAACCCUUCAGCUUGGGAUAACGACUUGAAAGGGUCGCUAAUACCGGAUACGGCGCGGGAGGCUUCGGCUUCUCACGAGAAAGCCUCGCAAGGGGCACUGAAGGACGAGCCUGCGGCCCAUCAGCUAGUUGGUGAGGUAAGAGCUCACCAAGGCGAAGACGGGUAGCUGGUCUGAGAGGAUGAUCAGCCACACUGGAACUGAGACACGGUCCAGACUCCUACGGGAGGCAGCAGUGGGGAAUAUUGCGCAAUGGGCGAAAGCCUGACGCAGCCACGCCGCGUGAGCGAUGAAGGCCUCGGUCGUAAGACUCUGUGGGAGGUGACGAAGAAGAC
rnacentral:rRNA from 1 species